rnacentral:tRNA from 1 species
GCCGAUGUAGCUCAGUGGUAGAGUGCUUCCUUGGUAAGGAAGAGGUCACGAGUUCAAUUCUCGUCAUUGGCU